rnacentral:ncRNA from 1 species
UGUUUUGACUCGGGGCGCUCUUAAUUGAGCUGAGAUGAACCCGUAAUACCUGAUCUGGAUAAUGCCAGCGUAGGGAAGUCAUGGUGUCUUCUU